GGGUUGUGAGGUUAAGCGACUAAGCGUACACGGUGGAUGCCCUGGCAGUCAGAGGUGAUGAAGGACGUGCUAAUCUGCGAUAAGCGUCGGUAAGGUGAUAUGAACCGUUAUAACCGGCGAUUUCCGAAUGGGGAAACCCAGUGUGAUUCGUCACACUAUCAUUAACUGAAUCCAUAGGUUAAUGAGGCGAACCGGGGGAACUGAAACAUCUAAGUACCCCGAGGAAAAGAAAUCAACCGAGAUUCCCCCAGUAGCGGCGAGCGAACGGGGAGCAGCCCAGAGC
rnacentral:rRNA from 1 species